UCUUCUUCUCUUCUCUGCCUCCUUCUAUUCUUCAGCCGGGUGAUAAUUUGAGGAACAAAUUAGUGAUUUUGAGGUCGUGUGAUAAAGAGAUGAAUCGCGUUGAGUCUGUUGGUGGUGGAGUUAAUUAGUAUAGAUGAUUCAGAUUCCACAGAAAAGAACGGUCGAUUCAAAGGAUGAUCUAGUGGACUGCGGAUCUUGAGGUAGACAUGGCAUGUCAUCAAACCAGAUUCAAAGGAUGAUCUAGUGGACUGCGGAUCUUGAGGUAGACAUGGCAUGUCAUCAAACCUGAAAUCAAAAGAAAUGGUGCACGUGAAGAUAUUCGUUUCUGUAGCGUAAACUCUUAGUGAGCUGAAGAUGUUGAUUUAUCUUUUAUAUAUGUAUAUUUCUUUCUCUGUAAAGCAACACAUUACUAUACUCAUAUCACUCAAGAGACUUUAGUUUAUAUAAUAUCAGAGAGUUUGGGUUUGUAGUAGCACUUUUUUGUAAUUAUGAUUCU